UGGUUCUAAUUUUGCCAAGUA
rnacentral:miRNA from 14 species